ACCUUCGGGCCUUGUGCUCCUGGAGCGGCCGAUAUCUGAUUAGCUAGUUGGUGAGGUAAAGGCUCACCAAGGCGACGAUCAGUAGCUGGUCUGAGAGGACGACCAGCCACACUGGAACUGAGACACGGUCCAGACUCCUACGGGAGGCAGCAGUGGGGAAUUUUGGACAAUGGGCGCAAGCCUGAUCCAGCAAUGCCGCGUGAGUGAAGAAGGCCUUCGGGUUGUAAAGCUCUUUUGUCAGGGAAGAAACGGGAUAGGCUAAUAUCCUUUCCUAAUGACGGUACCUGAAGAAUAAGCACCGGCUAACUACG
rnacentral:rRNA from 4 species